GCGGAAGUAGGCGCCAUCUUGCCAUGGCGAAUGCCUCUCAAGAUUUACGGCUCCCCACACCUGUCUCUGCCUAUCAAGUGUUGGUCCCAUCUAAAUAGUCGACUGACAUCAUUGGACUUCACAUAUCAAUAAUUCAUGGGAUGCUAUGAGAAUAUUGUCCAGACCUUUAGGACUUAAACAAUGGGGUUCUCAAGAAGAGGGAGCUGCAACUACAAAUUUGGGAACAGGAGACAUGAAAGAAGGACACAAGACAAAAACUUCUGAUGAAGUCUCCAUCUACUCUAGGGAAACAAAGGGCUUUUAAAGCAACAGACCACAAAGGUAUUUGCCCAGGUGCACUGGCCAAAUAGGCAUUUUUGCUUGGUUACACAUCAGCACAAAUGGAAUGUCCACAUAGUAAAAUGUCCAGAAAGGAA